AGCGGCGGACGGGUGAGUAACACGUGGGUAACCUACCUAUAAGACUGGGAUAACUUCGGGAAACCGGAGCUAAUACCGGAUAAUAUUUCGAACCGCAUGGUUCGAUAGUGAAAGAUGGUUUUGCUAUCACUUAUAGAUGGACCCGCGCCGUAUUAGCUAGUUGGUAAGGUAACGGCUUACCAAGGCGACGAUACGUAGCCGACCUGAGAGGGUGAUCGGCCACACUGGAACUGAGACACGGUCCAGACUCCUACGGGAGGCAGCAGUAGGGAAUCUUCCGCAAUGGGCGAGAGCCUGACGGAGCAACGCCGCGUGAGUGAUGAAGGUCUUCGGAUCGUAAAACUCUGUUAUUAGGGAAGAACAUACGUGUAAGUAACUGUGCACGUCUUGACGGUACCUAAUCAGAAAGCCACGGCUAACUACGUGCCAGCAGCCGCGGUAAUACGUAGGUGGCAAGCGUUAUCCGGAAUUAUUGGGCGUAAAGCGCGCGUAGGCGGUUUUUUAAGUCUGAUGUGAAAGCCCACGGCUCAACCGUGGAGGGUCAUUGGAAACUGGAAAACUUGAGUGCAGAAGAGGAAAGUGGAAUUCCAUGUGUAGCGGUGAAAUGCGCAGAGAUAUGGAGGAACACCAGUGGCGAAGGCGACUUUCUGGUCUGCAACUGA
rnacentral:rRNA from 1 species